AGAUUGAACGCUGGCGGCAGGCCUAACACAUGCAAGUCGAGCGGCAGCACGGGUACUUGUACCUGGUGGCGAGCGGCGGACGGGUGAGUAAUGCCUAGGAAUCUGCCUGAUAGUGGGGGAUAACGUUCGGAAACGGACGCUAAUACCGCAUACGUCCUACGGGAGAAAGUGGGGGAUCUUCGGACCUCACGCUAUCAGAUGAGCCUAGGUCGGAUUAGCUAGUUGGUAGGGUAAAGGCCUACCAAGGCUACGAUCCGUAACUGGUCUGAGAGGAUGAUCAGUCACACUGGAACUGAGACACGGUCCAGACUCCUACGGGAGGCAGCAGUGGGGAAUAUUGGACAAUGGGCGAAAGCCUGAUCCAGCCAUGCCGCGUGUGUGAAGAAGGUCUUCGGAUUGUAAAGCACUUUAAGUUGGAGAAGGCAUUAACCUAAUACGUUAGUGUUUUGACGUUACGACAGAAUAAGCAACCGGCUAAACUCUGUGCCAGCAGCCG
rnacentral:rRNA from 1 species